rnacentral:rRNA from 1 species
UACGUAGGGUGCAGGCGUUACUCGGAAUUACUGGGCGUAAAGCGUGCGCAGGCGGUUUCUUAAGUCAGAUGUGAAAGCCCCGGGCUUAACCUGGGAACUGCGUCCGAUACUGGGAGGCUUGAAUCCGGGAGAGGGAUGUGGAAUUCCAGGUGUAGCGGUGAAAUGCGUAGAUAUCUGGAGGAACACCGGUGGCGAAGGCGGCAUCCUGGACCGGUAUUGACGCUGAGGCGCGAAAGCCAGGGGAGCAAACGGG